rnacentral:misc_RNA from 1 species
UAGGCUGCUUUCUCCCGU